rnacentral:rRNA from 1 species
UACGGAGGGUGCAAGCGUUGUCCGGAUUUAUUGGGUUUAAAGGGUGCGUAGGCGGCCCCUUAAGUCAGCGGUGAAAGCCCGGGGCUCAACCCCGGAACCGCCGUUGAUACUGGGGGGCUUGAGUAUGGACGAGGUUGGCGGAAUUGAGGGUGUAGCGGUGAAAUGCUUAGAUACCCUCAAGAACACCGAUUGCGUAGGCAGCUAACUAGGCCAUAACUGACGCUGAGGCACGAAAGCGUGGGGAGCAAACAGG